rnacentral:rRNA from 1 species
AUUGAACGCUGGCGGCAGGCCUAACACAUGCAAGUCGAGCGAGCGGCGGACGGGUGAGUAAUGUAUGGGGAUCUGCCUGAUGGAGGGGGAUAACUACUGGACACGGUCGCUACUACCGCAUACGAUCAGAUGAACCCCUUUGGGAUUAGAUUGUAGGUGGGGUAACGGCUACCCUAGGCGACGAGCCCUAGCUGGUCUGAGAUGAUGCACAGCCACACUGGGACUGAUACACGGCCCAGACUCCUACGGGAGGCAGCAGUGGGGAAUAUUGCACAAUGGGCGCAAGCCUGAUGCAGCCAUGCCGCGUGUAUGAAGAAGGCCUUCGGUUUGUAAAGUACUUUCAGUCGGGAGGCGUUAACUACAGAAGAAGCACCGGCUAACUCCGUGCCAGCAGCCGCGGUAAUAC